GACGAACGCUGGCGGCGCGCUUAACACAUGCAAGUCGAACGGAAAGGCCUGCUUUCCCUUGUGGAUUGCGGGUACUCGAGUGGCGAACGGGUGAGAACACGUGAGUGAUCUGCCCCCAACUUGGGUAUAAGCCUGGGAAACUGGGUCUAAUUCCCGAUAGGACUGCAGGGUGGUGCCUGUGGUGGAAAACGAUUUUCUAGUGGUUGGGGAUGAGCUCGCGGCCUAUCAGCGUGUUGGUGGGGUAAUGGCCUACCAAGGCGGCGACGGGUAGCCGGCCUGAGAGGGUGGACGGCCACAUUGGGACUGAGAUACGGCCCAGACUCCUACGGGAGGCAGCAGUGGGGAAUAUUGCACAAUGGGCGGAAGCCUGAUGCAGCGACGCCGCGUGGGGGAUGACGGCCUUCGGGUUGUAAACUCCUUUCGACCGCGAGGAAGCCACCUGGUUGGAAGGGUGGUGACGGUAGUGGUAGAAGAAGCACCGGCUAACUACGUG
rnacentral:rRNA from 1 species